GGCCGUCUAGCUCAGUUGGUUAGAGCGUCGUGCUAAUAACGCGAAGGUCUUGGGUUCGAUCCCCACGAUGGCCA
rfam:Peniophora sp. CONT PENSPscaffold_107_Cont174, whole genome shotgun sequence.